rnacentral:lncRNA from 7 species
AAACAGCCGCAGCCAAUGGGAGGCGGCUCUCCAACGCCCCCCCCCCCAAUUAAAAGGUGAAUUGAUUGAUUGAUUGAUUGAGAGGACGGAUGGAACCUGAAGGGGGGUUAUUGUUAUUAUGGGGGGGGGGGGGGGGGGCAAGGUGACCCGGGGGGGGGGAUGGGGGGGCUCUAUGGGGUCGGGGGGGGGGUCUAUGGGAUGCUAUGGGGAUGCAUGGGGGGCUAUGGGGCUCUAUGGGGUCGGGGGGGGUCUAUGGGAUGCUAUGGGGAUGCAUGGGGGGCUAUGGGGCUCUAUGGGGCUCUAUGGGGUCGGGGGGGUCUCUAUAGGAUGCUAUGGGGCUCUAUGGGGUCGGGGGUUCUCUACAGGAUGCCAAGUGGGGUUGGGACCCUUGGAUGGGGCUUUGGGACCCCUAAGUGGGGCUUUGGGACCCCUAAGUGGGGCUCUUUUAUAACAAAAUGGGGCUCAAUGCGGCUCUGGGACCCCCAAGUGGGGCUGUGGGACCCCUAAGCGGGGUUGGGACCCCUAAAUGGGGCUGUGGGAGCCCUAAGCCGGGUUUGGGACCCCCAAGGGGGGCUGUGGGACCCCUAAGCGGGGUUGGGACCCCUAAAUGGGGCUGUGGGAGCCCUAAGCCGGGUUUGGGACCCCCAAGGGGGGCUGUGGGACCCCUAAGCGGGGUUGGGACCCCUAAAUGGGGCUGGGGGAGCCCUACGCGGGGUUGGGACCCCCAAGUGGUGCUGUGGGACCUCUAAAUGGGGCUCUGGGAUCCCCAACUGGGGCUGUGGGACCCCUAAGCCGGGUUUGGGACACCCAAUUGGGGCUUUGGGACCCCUAAGCGGGAUUGGGACCCCUACAUGGGGCUGUGGGACCUUGAAAUGGGGCUCUGGGACCCCCAAGUGGGGCUGUGGGACACCUAAGCCGGGUUUGGGACCCCCAAGUGGGGCUGUGAGACCCCUAAGCGGGGUUGAGACCCCCAAAUGGGGCUGUGGGACUCCUAAGUGGGGUUGGGACCCCCAAGUGGUGCUGUGGGAGCCCUAAGCGGGGUUUGGGACCCCCAAGUGGGGCUGUGGGACCUCUAAAUGGGGCUCUGGGACCCCCAAGUG